rnacentral:rRNA from 1 species
GACGAACGCUGGCGGCGUGCUUAACACAUGCCAGUCGAACGGAAAGGCCCUGCUCUUGUGGGGUGCUCGAGUGGCGAACGGGUGAGUAACACGUGAGUAACCUGCCCUUGACUUUGGGAUAACUUCAGGAAACUGGGGCUAAUACCGGAUAGGAGCUCCUGCUGCAUGGGGGGGGUUGGAAAGUUUCGGCGGUUGGGGAUGGACUCGCGGCUUAUCAGCUUGUUGGUGGGGUAGUGGCUUACCAAGGCUUUGACGGGUAGCCGGCCUGAGAGGGUGACCGGCCACCAUGGGACUGAGAUACGGCCCAGAAUCCUACGGGAGGCAGCAGUGGGGAAUAUUGCACAAUGGGCGGGAGCCUGAUGCAGCAACGCCGCGUGCGGAAUGACGGGCUUCGGGUUGUAAACCGCUUUCGCCUGUGACGAAGCGUGAGUGACGGUAAUGGGUAAAGAAGCACCGGCUAACUACGUG